rnacentral:rRNA from 1 species
AGAGUUUGAUCAUGGCUCAGAGCGAACGCUGGCGGCAGGCCUAAAACAUGCAAGUCGAACGGAUCCUUCGGGAUUAGUGGCGGACGGGUGAGUAACACGUGGGAACAUGCCUUUUGGUUCGGAACAACUCAGGGAAACUUGAGCUAAUACCGAAUGUGCCCUUCGGGGGAAAGAUUUAUCGCCAUUAGAGCGGCCCGCGUCUGAUUAGCUUGUUGGUGAGGUAAAGGCUCACCAAGGCGACGAUCAGUAGCUGGUCUGAGAGGAUGAUCAGCCACACUGGGACUGAGACACGGCCCAGACUCCUACGGGAGGCAGCAGUUAGGAAUCUUGCGCAAUGGGGGGAAACCCUGACGCAGCCAUGCCGCGUGAAUGAUGAAGGUCUUAGGAUUGUAAAAUUCUUUCAGCGGGGACGAUAAUGACGGUACCCGCAGAAGAAGCCCCGGCUAACUUCGUG